rnacentral:rRNA from 1 species
AUUGAACGCUGGCGGCAGGCGUAACACAUGCAAGUCGAGCGGAGAGAGGUAGCUUGCUACUGAUCUUAGCGGCGGACGGGUGAGUAAUGCUUAGGAAUCUGCCUAUUAGUGGGGGACAACAUUUCGAAAGGAAUGCUAAUACCUCAUACGUCCUACGUGAGAAAGAAGGGGAUCUUCGUACCUAGCGCUAAUAGCUGAGCCUAAGUCGGAUUAGCUAGUUGGUGGGGUAAAGGCCUACCAAGGCGACGGGCUGUAGCGGGUCUGAGAGGAUGAUCCGCCACACUGGGACUGAGACACGGCCCAGACUCCUACGGGAGGCAGCAGUGGGGAAUAUUGGACAAUGGGCGCAAGCCUGAUCCAGCCAUGCCGCGUGUGUGAAGAAGGCCUUAUGGUUGUAAAGCACUUUAAGCGAGGAGGAGGCUACUUUAGUUAAUACCUAGAGAUAGUGGACGUUACUCGCAGAAUAAGCACCGGCUAACUCUGUGCCAGCAGCCGCCGUAA